GUAGUCACUGGGGCUUUGGCUUAUCUUGCUUCUUCCUGUUUUUCUUAAACCACUGUGUGUGGGAUAUGUGUGCUGAAGAUUGGAGCAGCUAAAAGCUACAGGCAACAUUUUGCUUUCUGUUACCCCAGCACAACUUUCUCAUUUCCAAGAGGGUGCAGCCAGGAGCUCUCUUCUGCUCAGUCCAAAAGAUGCAACCACAUACCUGAACAGCCUUUUGUCCCCUCUUCCCCAUAGUCCUUGGAAAAGUGGCUCCUCCUUAAACUGGUGGCACUGGCUUCUGAUGCAGAUAAAUCACUUCCAGAGCAAGCCCAAAUAUGCAGAUAACCAUAAAAUUACAGUUUCCUUGUAAAUGCUACUCAGGCAUCACAAUCAAAGUCAAGAAAAAGACAAGUCCCAGAAAGAACAGAAACUUGAGGUUGCAAGUUUGCAAAUUGGUCCUGUCCUCAGAGAAGCCCAAAUGAAAACCUAAGUGCCGGGGUAAAAGAAAAUCCAAUUCCUAUCAACACAGAAGAAUGUUCAGGUGCACUGCUGGGAAUACAGAAGACUGACUUUGUGAGCAGCUGAAUUACUGAAGCCUGUUUUCCUAUGAAUUCAUGUCGUCUGCACUCAGAAAGUUUUUCUAGCACUAGCUGUAAUAAAUGCAGUGUACCAUUGUAACUAUGAAAUAAA
rnacentral:lncRNA from 1 species